rnacentral:rRNA from 1 species
UACGUAGGUGGCGAGCGUUGUCCGGAUUUACUGGGCGUAAAGGGCGUGCAGGCGGUUUGUUAAGUGCAGGGUGAAAGCUCCCGGCUCAACUGGGGAGAGGUCCUUGCAUACUGGCGAACUCGAGGGAGGCAGAGGAAAGUGGAAUUCCCGGUGUAGUGGGUGAUAUGCGUAGAUAUCGGGGAGGAACACCUGUGGCGAAGGCGGCUCUCUGGGACGGUACUGACGCUGAGACGCGAAAGCGUGGGGAGCGAACAGG